rnacentral:rRNA from 1 species
AUUGAACGCUGGCGGCAGGCCUAACACAUGCAAGUCGAGCGGAGCGGCGGACGGGUGAGUAAUUCCUAUGAAUCUGCCUGGUAGUGGGGGAUAGCGUCCGGAUACGGGCGCUAAUACCGCAUACUAUCAGAUUCGCUUAGGUGGGAUUCGCUAGUUGGUGGGGUAAAGGCCUACCAAGGCGACGAUCCGUACCUGGUCUGAGAGGAUGAUCAGUCACACGGGAACGGAGACACGGUCCAGACUCCUACGGGAGGCAGCAGUGGGGAAUAUUGGACAAUGGGCGAAAGCCUGAUGCAGCCAUGCCGCGUGUGUGAAGAAGGUCUUCGGAUUGUAAAGCACUUUAAGUUGGGAGGCGUUACCAACAGAAUAAGCACCGGCUAACUUCGUGCCAGCAGCCGCGGUAAUAC